UGGUGCAAUUGAGACCUUACAGUCGGCGGCUAGGGUUAAUGACUCGAAGGUGAUGAAGGAGACGAUGUAGAUUAAGUUUCAGGCGAUCAAUGGUGUCAAAUGAUGGUCGUUCAGAACAAAUAGACGGUCGGCGGUGACGGUCAAAACAAGGGAAGACGUUCUCGUCACCUAUAGUUUAGGGUUUUGAACGUACCGACGAUUAGGAAGGAGAUAUGUUUGGGUGCAUAUUAAAUUUAUUGGUUUUUGUUCUACUUCUUGAGACAUUCAUAAAAGAGAGAAGAAAAAAGAAGCAGUGACACUUCUCUCUCAUCUUCAUUUCCAAAAUACUGCACACAUAGUAAAGGUGAGAGAGAGGCAAGAUGGCAAUGUUCGUUUCAGUGUGCUUCAGGUCUGGUGAAGCAUGAAGGCGGUGGUCGUUUCGAGGUGCUUCAGGUCCACCGAGAAGAAGAGGUGCAACAGUGGCUACGGUUUUGAGCAGGGGUUCACUUACCGCCACUGGUUCAGCUCGACCAGAUUUCCGAGGAGGACUUGAAUGCUUACAGCGGCAACGAUCCUCAAAGGCCUCUUCUUAUGGCCAUCAAAGGCCAGAUCUAUGAGACUAUGAUGUCUCGCAAAACAGGUUAUCUAUCAUCAAUUUCGAGGGUUUGAUUUAGUAUUACUUUCAGCUCAUCGGCGCCAUUCUUAGAGCCGAUUCUCAUACCAGCACAGGAUUGUACGUGGCGAAUAGAGCUUCCGACAAGAUCACUCAGCUCUCUAAUGUAGGCGUGCUUUGGUCGUAGUAAUUCGAUUGUCCCCCUUAUAUGUAUGGAAUCAUUUAUGUUCAGUUCUUGAGUGGUAAACCACUAUCGUUAUAAAAUGCCUUUCUAACUGGCUCAAAGUAGGAAAUAUAUAAAAAGGGUGCAAUACAAUACAAUACUAAUAAGUAAUAUGUGAAUUUUGUAGCUAUGAGUUUGCUUUUACUGAAAACUUGCAAAAUUAAUUGUUAUAGCUGCUAUAGUGUUGCCAAUUGUAUGUGAUUAAUGGACCUGCACAAGAUUUAGUCACUGGUAUUUUUAUAUGCUGUGGAAUAAGUAGAAAGUGGACUAAAAUAUUAUAC